UGGUGAGAGGUGAGACCUCUCCAGGGACUGAGACAUUGGUGGCAGCCAUUAUUGUGACCUAGUACAGGUGUGCUGACUCAGACAGUGACAGAUGCCAUUGGAAGUCUUCCCCUGGCCUGUUAGCCAAGGGUCUGCCCCAUCUGCUAGACCACCAAUUUAAUUCAGCUCAGCCAAGGCAGGCAGCCCUCCCAAGGGACUGGCCCCACCAAACAGAAAGCCACUGAGCAACUCUUUGGCCUGCAUAGACUGGGUGACUGGAUCCUCUGCAGGCAGUAACCAAAACUAGUAUGACAGAAUGUUCUGAUAAUGAACCCUCCAUCAGUCUCCAUCACCGUUAUCACAUGCAGGCCAAUCACAGAGGGCCAAGAAGGGAGCAGCAAAACGCCUCUGGAUCUGAGCAUCUGAGUGAGAUGACAGGGAAGGAAAGGAAGACAACUGGAAGAAACUUGCCCUGGACCCUGUGACCUCUGCAGAUCCAGGCACCGCGGUGUCCAGUGACUUCCUCUAACACCAUAGCAAAUGUUCAGUGUGAACUUUGCACCAGGCUUUUUUAAAAAAGCUCCACACGAGUCAUUGUAUUUAAUCUUCACAGCCUUCUGAAGUCGGUGUUAUUUAUCACGCACUUUAUAAAUGGAAAAUAACCCAAAACCUGAGACUUUAAAAAGAGGAAGUGACUUGCUCAAGGUCACACAACUAAUAAGUUGGUGAGUCGGGACUGGAGUCUGGGUGUAGGUUUAAAGCCAGUUCUGAGUCUCUCCUUUCCCGGAAGUAGGUUUAACCUCAGAGGCAGCCUCGGGGAGCAGUCACGGUGACCUGGUUCUCAGGCCAUUGUUUGCCAUUUCUUUUACAGAUGAAAAUUGAGUACACUUAAUUGCAUUUAAUUUUAGAAUUACACAUAGAUAUUUCAAACUUCAAUAUUUAUAAAACUAAUAUAUUGGCAGAAUCAAUUUUAAUCAAAAGGCGAAAAAUGGAAGCAUCUUUUGAUAAGAAGGAUGCAACUUUUGAUAAGGCAAAGAGCAAAAAAGCACUGGCGCUCCUAAAGGUGUUUCUGAGGGCCUGCCGGAUGGGGUGCAGGCAGGGUGAUGCCUAGGUUGAAAGGGAGAGAAACAAACAUGUCUUGGCCAAACUUUGGUCCUUGGGACUUUCAUCUUUGUGUGGAUCACUGCGUAGACCUCUGUGUACAAACCUUGAAAGAAACCGGGUUUCCCUCUC